AUUGAACGCUGGCGGCAUGCUUUACACAUGCAAGUCGAACGGUAACAGGCCUUCGGGUGCUGACGAGUGGCGAACGGGUGAGUAAUGCAUCGGAACGUACCCAGAGGUGGGGGUUAACGCAGCGAAAGCUGUGCUAAUACCGCAUGUGAUCUGAGGUUGAAAGCGGGGGACCGAGCAGCAAUGUUUGGCCUCGCGCCUUUGGAGCGGCCGAUGUCGGAUUAGCUAGUUGGUGGGGUAAAGGCCUACCAAGGCGACGAUCCGUAGCUGGUCUGAGAGGACGACCAGCCACACUGGGACUGAGACACGGCCCAGACUCCUACGGGAGGCAGCAGUGGGGAAUUUUGGACAAUGGGCGCAAGCCUGAUCCAGCAAUGCCGCGUGCGGGAAGAAGGCCUUCGGGUUGUAAACCGCUUUUGGCAGGAACGAAACGGUGUCCGCUAAUACCGGGCGCUAAUGACGGUACCUGCAGAAUAAGCACCGGCUAACUACGUG
rnacentral:rRNA from 1 species